AAAAAAAAAGAGGAAAACAGAAUCCACUCACCUCUGGGUUUGUUUUGCGAAUUUCUUGAAUCUGUUCAACCAUUUCUUUGAUUUUUUCCAAUUUUUCUUCCUC
rnacentral:ribozyme from 1 species